AACGAACGCUGGCGGCAUGCCUAACACAUGCAAGUCGAACGAGACCUUCGGGUCUAGUGGCGCACGGGUGCGUAACGCGUGGGAACCUGCCUUUAGGUUCGGAAUAACUCAGAGAAAUUUGAGCUGAUACCGGAUGAUGUCUUCGGACCAAAGAUUUAUCGCCUUUAGAUGGGCCCGCGUUGGAUUAGCUAGUUGGUGGGGUAAGGGCCUACCAAGGCGACGAUCCAUAGCUGGUCUGAGAGGAUGAUCCGCCACACUGGGACUGAGACACGGCCCAGACUCCUACGGGAGGCAGCAGUGGGGAAUAUUGGACAAUGGGCGAAAGCCUGAUCCAGCAAUGCCGCGUGAGUGAUGAAGGCCUUAGGGUUGUAAAGCUCUUUUACCCGAGAUGAUAAUGACAGUAUCGGGAGAAUAAGCUCCGGCUAACUCCGUG
rnacentral:rRNA from 1 species